rnacentral:misc_RNA from 1 species
AACGGUCUAUACCUGCGGUACCUGCGGAAGGAUCAUUCAGAAAUUCUGGCUAAAGCCGGCCAUCAGCUGGGAUCGAAAGGUCAAGUGUUUAACUCUGAACAAGUUGGCAACUGGUGAUCAGUUGGAGGGGGGGUGCACCCGGCCCCCCUCUCCCCACUAGUUGACGACUGUGAGGGCUGGGGUGCAGUUGUAGGGGUCGGUCACGGGGGCCCGCCAGGGCUCCUCACCCCAUCCCCCACA